CUACGGGCGGCUCCAGUGGGGAAUAUUGGACAAUGGGGGAAACCCUGAUCCAGCAAUGCCGCGUGUGCGAUGAAGGCCUGCGGGUUGUAAAGCACUUUCGAUGGGGAAGAAAUGCCCAAAUAUAAUACAUUUGGGAGAUGACGUUACCCAUAGAAGAAGCACCGGCGAACUCUGUGCCAGCAGCCGCGGUAAUACAGAGGGUGCAAGCGUUAAUCGGAGUUACUGGGCGUAAAGGGCGUGUAGGCUGAUACUUUAGUCGAUUGUGAAAUCCCUGGGCUUAACCUAGGAAUUGCAGUCGAUACUGGGUGUCUUGAGUAUGGUAGAGGAAGGUGGAAUUCUCGGUGUAGUGGUUAAAUACGUAGAUAUCGAGAAGAACAUCGGUGGCGAAGGCGGCCUUCUGGACCAAUACUGACGCUGAGGCGCGAAAGCGUGGGGAGCAAACAGGAUUAGAUACCCUAGUAGUC
rnacentral:rRNA from 1 species